GACGAACGCUGGCGGCGUGCUUAACACAUGCAAGUCGAACGGAAAGGCCCUGCUUUUGUGGGGUGCUCGAGUGGCGAACGGGUGAGUAACACGUGAGUAACCUGCCCUUGACUUUGGGAUAACUUCAGGAAACUGGGGCUAAUACCGGAUAGGAGCUCCUGCUGCAUGGUGGGGGUUGGAAAGUUUCGGCGGUUGGGGAUGGACUCGCGGCUUAUCAGCUUGUUGGUGGGGUAGUGGCUUACCAAGGCUUUGACGGGUAGCCGGCCUGAGAGGGUGACCGGCCACCUUGGGACUGCGAUACGGACCAGACUGGUACGGGAGGCAGCAGGGGGGAAUAUUGCACAAUGGGCGGAAGCCUGAUGCAGCAACCCCGCGUGUGGGAUGACGGCCUUCGGGUUGUAAACCGCUUUCGCCUGUGACGAAGCGUGAGUGACGGUAAUGGGUAAAGAAGCACCGGCUAACUACGUG
rnacentral:rRNA from 1 species